UACCAGCACCCCGAGUGGUCGGGACGUUUAUUGGGCCUAAAGCAUCCGUAGCCGGUUCUACAAGUCUUCCGUUAAAUCCAACUGCUUAACAGGUGGGCUGCGGAAGAUACUAUAGAGCUAGGAGGCGGGAGAGGCAAGCGGUACUCGAUGGGUAGGGGUAAAAUCCGUUGAUCCAUUGAAGACCACCAGUGGCGAAGGCGGCUUGCCAGAACGCGCUCGACGUUGAGGGAUGAAAGCUGGGGGAGCAAACGGG
rnacentral:rRNA from 1 species